GAACUGGCACAGCAGGUGGAGACAGACACAGACAACAAACAGGGACAAAGGGAAGAGGACAACAGAGUCCCGUUGGAGCCACUGGAUGUCCAGAUUAUCAGCUGCUCUCCAACAUGGCAGUCUUCAGGUACUGAGGAGCUGUUGGACCAGAGGUCAGAGGUGUUCCACAGGACAAGCUUCUCCUCACCAAUAUACGCUCUACACCAACCCUCAUCAGCAGCUUCUCUUUUUAUUUAUUUUUAACAAACGUGACUUCAUCAUCAGAGUAAAUGUUGCAGCAUCACCUGUCUCCAGAAAUAAAUGUCCUUUACUUGACUCUAAGACCACA